CUCGCCCCCCGCCCUUUGCCGCUGUUACUGCCCCCAGGGCUGGGUCUAGCGACCGGAUUGUGUGAACUGCCCCUCAGCUCCUGCAUUGUGAUCGAUCUGGGGUGGGGCUGGGGGUAGGGUGGGGGGCCCCCGCCGGAACGGUCGGGGUGGGGGAAGGACAGGAGAGUCGCCUCGCCCCUCCCCCUAUGCUGUCUACGGGGCGGAGCUGGCCUGACUGGGAGGGGGCGGGGGCGGGGUAUGCCGAGGUAGACAUCUCCCCCCUCCAUUUCACCCCUUCCUGAUUCUCUCUUCCUCCCCCCUCCUCCCUUUGCCCACCGGCGCCGCUUUACCUGCUCGGCUUGGGGAAAGCAGCCUUGUGACCUUUUAAGGCUCGGAAAAGAAAGCAAUAAAAGGGGUAUGGUUUGAAGUGAGAAGUCCAAGAGCUAGAAGAUCCCUUGAAGAAAUAAGUUGUUUUGGAAGCAGGCAUAGUACUGAGAAGAAUAUAAGCCAUUUUCAUCAAGGUAGAGAACAUGAAGAACAAAAUGAUGUGAUUGUGAACUGUGUGACAGAAAAAUCAGUCAUAAACCUAAAUGGGGCAGCAAGCGAAGACUACAAUAAUACAAAGGGAAAAAGAAUAAUACUUCUAGAUUUUAAAUGUUAAUUAACUCCAUACAGAUUUGUAGUAGCAAAACAGAUCCACCAAAUCUUCUACUCAGAUUGCUUCUGCCACUGCACAUAAAUCCACCCUGCUACUCAAUCCCACAGUAAGUCACUGUCUUGCUCAAGACUUUGUUGACCCUUAAUUUUGAGCUCUGACAAAGGUGUUGACCAAAACUUCUACUUGGUGACCCUUUAUAACAAGCCUGAUUUAUUGUCUGUAAGUGUAUUCAUAAAUACAUUCACGUUAGAUCUAGAGGGGAAAAAUAAUAUAAGGUUAAGUCAUGAUUAGGAGAUUUUAAUUUAAUAUAAGAGCCAGAGUUUCA